rnacentral:misc_RNA from 1 species
UUUUUUUUUUUUUUUUUCCCCUUUAUUUUCUAUUGUUAUGAUUUGUGCGAGAUGAGGGCAGAGGAGGAGAGGAAAGGAGAGUGCCGAUGGCUUCACGCGAUGGUUGCUGCUGUGCUGACCACGCGUUUAAUUAUUUGCACACAACAUGCAUGAAGGUGUUGGUGCUGAAUGAUAAAGGUCUGCUGCUUCCCUGUUUAAUGGUCAUUUAUACAGAGGCAUGAGAAACUUGAACCUCCGCCUGUGCGGGUAUGACGCAAGUGAGAUACCGGACAAACUAUGUCUUUGUUGCCCUGCAUGAUAUGGUGGUGUGGACUUGCUGCUCCUCUUGGCUCCCAUGACCUCUGGGUUUUCUCAGAUUCCGUGGCCUCGGUCUUUAACUUAUUAAUCUAUUUGCUAUGAAUGAAAUAUUUAUCUAUUGUUAAAAGAGAAAUGCAGUGGUCAAUAUAGAUCAGUAAUAACUGCAUAUAUAACUGCAUGUAUGUUCAACUUCCCCCUCUCAACACAUAUGUAACGAAAAGAAAAAAUAGCGCCAUGAAAUGAAGAGUUUAAACUUCAAUUAAAAUUAUUAAGACUGUGAAAUGGAAUUUGCUAACCCUUCUUUCAAAGAUUUG